rnacentral:lncRNA from 1 species
AGACUCCGUAAUUUAUAAUAAACAGAUUUCUUUCCCCCUCACGAUUCUGCAGGUUGGGAUGUAGAAGAUCAAGGUGCCAGGAUGUCGGGGCCCAGUCUCUCUGUUUCCAAGAUGAUGUCCUGAGCACUGCGUCCUCUGGAGGGAAGAAACCCUAAAUCCGCACGUGGUAGAAGAGGAGAAGCGGCAACGCCUUCUCUGCAGUUCUUCUAAUAAGCUCCUAGACAGCAAGAGCAAGUUUCAGGAUUGUACAAAGAAGCAUUUAUCUGGGGAAUAAUGUUGAUUUUGGCACCUUGUUCCACAAGGAUCAAUUGAACAUGACUCUUCAGGGUCUAUACAAGGUAGGCGAAGAUAAC